rnacentral:rRNA from 1 species
GACGAACGCUGGCGGCGUGCUUAACACAUGCAAGUCGAACGGAAAGGCCCUGCUUUUGUGGGGUGCUCGAGUGGCGAACGGGUGAGUAACACGUGAGUAACCUGCCCUUGACUUUGGGAUAACUUCAGGAAACUGGGGCUAAUACCGGAUAGGAGCUCCUGCUGCAUGGUGGGGGUUGGAAAGUUUCGGCGGUUGGGGAUGGACUCGCGGCUUAUCAGCUUGUUGGUGGGGUAGUGGCUUACCAAGGCUUUGACGGGUAGCCGGCCUGAGAGGGUGACCGGCCACAUUGGGACUGAGAUACGGCCCAGACUCCUACGGGAGGCAGCAGUGGGGAAUAUUGCACAAUGGGCGGAAGCCUGAUGCAGCAACGCCGCGUACGGGAUGACGGCCUUCGGGUUGUGAACCACUUUCGCCGGUGACGAAGCGUGAGUGACGGUAAUGGGUAAAGAAGCACCGGCUAACUACGUG